AUCAUUUCGAAUCCGUGCAGAGAUUUUGUCAGACACCAAACCAUUAGUGCUAAUCAGACUUCCAAGAUAAGUGAAGUU
rfam:Schistosoma margrebowiei strain Zambia genome assembly, scaffold: SMRZ_contig0000651